UACGGGGGGGGCAAGCGUUGUUCGGAAUUACUGGGCGUAAAGGGCUCGUAGGUGGCCAACUAAGUCAGACGUGAAAUCCCUCGGCUUAACCGGGGAACUGCGUCUGAUACUGGAUGGCUUGAGUUCGGGAGAGGGAUGCGGAAUUCCAGGUGUAGCGGUGAAAUGCGUAGAGAUCGGGAGGAACACCGGUGGCGAAGGCGGGUCUCUGGGCAUCUCCUGACGCUGAGGCGCGAAAGCGUGGGGAGCAAACGGG
rnacentral:rRNA from 1 species